CGCGCCACAAUUGAGGGAUCAAUUGGGAAAUUAUGCCCUAUUACCAAAAUGACGCCGUUCCAAUAUUCGCAUUUAAAGGGCCCGGGGACCAGAUCACAACAAAAACCAAAUUUCAGGGCCAAAUUUAAGAAACAAAACAGAUGAACAGGGUCAAAUCAAAAUAGAGCAGAAAUGCGGGAGGGCCUAUUGUGCCCUUUUUGACAAAACAAGCAGGUUCUCGUGGAUACGGAUCGGAUCGUAGGUUGGAGGGCCAUGAGGUAAAACGGCGCCGUAUGGAACACUUGGGGGGAGUGCAAAACGCACUAUUUUACCCUAUUAUAAAACUUAAAAUUUUUUAUUUUUUUUCAUUUCUUUCUUUGUCUCAAAAAAAAAAAACAAAUGGCUCUCCCUUUCUUUUUCAAACCAACUCAUAGGUCAGUCACCGACCACCGUGCGUGAUGGUUAGAGUUCCAAAAAAACCUCAUUUUCUCCUUGUUAAACUAGGAAAUAGAUUUAGGACCUACAAAUCCCGAAACCCUUGAAAACAACAAGAUUUCCGACUAUUGGCCUCUUGUGCCGUGGCUUCAACCAGAUCCCAAGGGAUCUGUUAGCCCCUGGACCGGAGAAACGAGCGCUGACGAUUUCAACGCCAAACAGUGGGUAAAAAUUUCCAUUCUUACGUAUUCACGUGGUAAAUUUAAAAUAAAAUAAAAAAGAAAAAAUAACAAAGCCGAAAAUGAACAAAUGGAUCACCUUUAAAAUGUAUUCGAUUUCUCUGUAUAAAUUGCUAUGUAUGCGUAUUCGUAUCCUUCUGCCAAAAAAAGAUCCUUUUCAAUACAUUCGGUUUAGGCUUUUAUAGCCGAAAAGAAAAACAAAAAACAACUUGCUCCUAUUUCGUUGCACUUGUUGUUGUUGCUUUCCAUUUUUUCUGCAGGUAUGGAGGCGCGAGUAGAGCAGCUACGUGGAGUGAGGCGUGUGAAGGUUGUUCGGUAGUUGAGGGUUACGGCGCAAGGGAACCCUAGGGUUCCUGAGAGAGUUUUGAUUUUGGGCCAUUUGGGCCAGGUUUGUCUUAUCUAGGUAUUGGGCCCUGUUGUAAAUGGGUAUUCGGGUUUGGGCCUAUUGUAAUUGGGUGUGGUAUUUGGGUUUUGAUUGGCUGUAAAUGGACUUUAUAUUUUGGACUGUUGUUUAUUGGGCCCCGGGUUAAAUUGGGCCCUACAGUUACACUAUAUUUUAUAUUUUUUUAUCAUGAAAAUUUUAUACAUUCGUACCGAAUUUGUGUUAUUUUUCAUUUUACCCAUGUAUUAAUUUAUAAUUAAAAUAUUAUUUACACUUGUAAUUUUUUUACAUUUUUUUUACAAAUAACAACAUAAGAUUAAAAGCUAUGCAAAUAUGUUUUCUCUUUAGAAAUAUAGAGAGUAUUGUAGAAUAUAUAUUAAAUUGAAAAUAAAAAGAUAAGAAUGUAGAAUGUUGUAUUUUUGUUUUUAUAUUGAAAUUUUAUUUAUUUUUAAUUAUUUUUGUUGAGUUCAUUUAACCUAAUUCGUAACCAACUUUAGAGUUUUAGUAUGUGUCUAAACACUAAUGAAAAAGUAUCAUAUGAUCUUGUAAUUAUCACUUAUAGCCAUGUUUGUUUGGUUUCUUUUAUUAUUAUCUUUUGAAUUAUAUUUUUAUACUAAUGUUGUAUAAGUUAGAAGUUAGAAUAAGUAGUCUUCAAAUUAUAUAUUUUUUGUUAGAUACUUAAAUUUAUUUUUUUGUCAAAAAAUAAUCUAAACUAUAAUUUCAUAACUAUUAUGGCCUAUACUCUUAUAUUUGCUAGAAAAUUUCUUUCAACUAAUUAAGAAUUGAUACAUGACAUUUUUAAAAAUAUUGAAAAAUUAAAUUAAAUUGAAUUAUUAUUUAAUAAUAUCUCUCACACACAUCUUCACUUCUCUCUCCCUUUAUUUUGAACAUCAACUAUGAGAAAAGAUACUGGUAUAAGAGUAAGCAAUCACACAUUGUUUAGGAAUAAAUUGCAAAUGGAUUAUGAGUCUAUAUAUACUUAUAUCACAUAUCCCACAUCGCUUAAUAAAAAAGAUAAAUGAAACUUUGAGUCUAUAUAAAAACUUGUUUUGUAAAUUUUAUUUUUCACAUUAAUAGGUGACACCAUGAAAUAAGAAAAAAUAUUGGUGCUGUCAUUUUAAGUGUUGGUAUGGCAAAAAGCACUUUUAGUUGGUAGUGUAUUUUUGUUAAUACGUUAAAAAUUUUACUUGAAAAUGCUUUCAGUUAGACGCGUUUUUGUAAAAUCAAUCUAUUCUCAUAAUUUUUUUUUUAAAUUAGUCUAUUCAUGUAAAUAUUUUUUAAAAAUCAACAUUUAUGAGUAUUGAAGUUGAGAAAGGAUACCAUUAGGAUCAAGAGCCAAGCUUCUUUCAAAUAAUUUUUUUUUCUCUAAAUCAAGGAUGCCAUUAAUUUAACUUAAUUGGCUUAAAAAAGUAUUAAUAACCUAAAAAAUACAAGAAAUAUAUCUUAAUUAUAUAUAAAAAGUCCAUCGUACCGCCUUAAUUUGAAGUAAAACGAGAUUACUUUCCCAUUAAAUUUAACCUCCUAAAAAUAUUUACGUUUCCUUGAUGUAUAAUUAUAUAUUGAUAAAAAUUAUGUAAGUAUUUAAUAUAUACUAAAUAAUUUCAUAUAAUUAAUUUAUAUUUGUGAUAAAUUAUAGUUUCUUGAUUGAUGAUAAAAAUAUUUACCUUUGACUUAUUAUAUUAAUUUAUAAUUGAUAAAAAAUUAUUUUUUAAAUAUGUUUUUAGGGUAAAAAAACAUUAAUUAAAAUAUUUUAAAAAAAAAGAGAUCAAAUAUAAAAAAUCUAAAACCAACUGUUAUAAUCUAACUAAAACAGAUAAAGUAAUUUGUUUUCAAUUUAUAAAUUCAGACUUGUUGGAGCAGAAAACGUAGAAUAAUUUAGAGCAAUUAUUGAUGUAAUCCAAUCAUAUAAGUAGAUGUUUUGAGUUUUGACCAUCCAUACAAGAGUGAGGCAAUGUAGAUUAAGCAAUCCUCGCACUUACUUUCCCCAUCGCCAUCUCGUAUGUCGAAAUUUUACGUCAUCAUUGUUAUAUAAUAAUUAUAUUCUAUAAAUUUUUACACAUUUGAAAAUCUAUUACUUUUACACAACAACAAAUAUUUGAGGGUAUAUUUAUUUUUUAUUUUAUAUAAAAUCUGGGAAAAAAAUAAUUAUAUGAUAAAAUUUCAUCUCAAAAUAUCAUAAUUUUUAUUUUUCUUUUACCAUUUAAAAAAAAAUCACAGCUAUUUUUUAUAUUAAUUUAAAAUUAUUAUUUAUCGGUAAAAUAUUAAAUAAUUAUUUUUAUCCACAUGUGUGCUAUUAUCUAGUAUUUCAAAUAAGAGUUAUCAAAUAUAAAUUGGGUAAACUACAAUAGUAGUUACCCAAUUAUCGGUAAAUUAUUUUUUUGUCAUUCAACUAUAAAAAGUUGUAAAAUAAUCACCUAACCAUGAAAAAUUACAAGAUAGUCAUCAAACUGUUCAAUUUUGUCAUUUUUGUUUACCAACUAACUAAUGAUGGCAGCUUUUAAAAUUUGCAUGAUAACAACUUUAACCCUAAAUAUUUAUACAUUGUGUUAAUUUAGUAUUGAUUCUAAAAAAUCUAGCCCUUAACAUUUACAUUUAGUCAUUUUUGCAAGUUUGUUUUUCUUUGUGAUAUUUUUUACCUAAAAAGCUAAGAAAACAAAAUUAUUAGUGAACUUCGAUUGAAAAAUAUACACAAUAAAUGAAAACACCCAAAAAGCCAAGAUAAUAAUUUGCAUCUUUUAUCAUUCUUUUAAAAUUAACUCUCAAUAUCAUAGAGAAACAACAAAACUUCAAAAAAGAGACCAAAUUGCAUAAUGAGCAAAUGUUGAGGGUUAAUUUUUUUAGAAUCAAUACUAAAUUGACAUAAUUUAUAAGCUUUGAGGGUUAAAGUUGUUAUUAUGCCAUAAUUUAUAAGCUUUGAGGGUUAAAGUUAUUAUUAUGCCAAUUUUAAAAGCUGUAUUGUUAGUCGGCUGGUGACCAGAAAAGAUAAAAUUAAAUAGUUAGGUGACUAUUUUGUAACUUUUCAUAAUUAGAUAACUAUAAAAAGAACUUACAAAUAGUUGAGUAAGUACUAGUGUAAUUUACCCAUAUAAAUUAGACGAAAUUCAAAUGUAAAAAUUGGUGUCCAACUUUCAGUCUGAAUGGACCUAACAGACUAGGUUUUUAUUGUUUAUUUUUAGGCAUAAUGAUUUAUUUCACUCUUUAAUUUUUCUUAUUUUUAGCUUUUAAAUUUGUAUUUUUUGUAAAAUCAUAUAAAAUUAAUGAAAAAAUUAAUGUUUGUUAACUUUGUUGACGUGACACGUGGAUUGUUACAUGAACGACACAUUAGCAUUUAAUUAAUUUUUUAAAAUUUAAAAAUUUAAAAUAUUUAUUUUUAAAAAUUAAAAAUUAUUUAAAUUAUUUAAAAAGUGUAAAAAUAUUUUUAAAAUUGUUUUUAAAUAUUUUUAAGAUUUUAAUAAAUUAAUUAAAACUGAGGUGUCAUCAAUAUGACAAUCCGCAUGUAUACCACGUCAGUAAAGUUAAUAAACAUUAAAUUUUUUAUUUAUUUUGAGGUAAUUUGAUAAUUAAUAUAAUUUUAAAGAUUAAAAGAGACAAAAAUCAAAUAAAGAACUAAAAUAAAUUUUUUUAUAAAAUUGAAGUAUGGGUGCUGAAAAUUCUGAGGUACACUUUUUUCAACCAUGACUAAUAUAUUAUUUUCAAAAAGAAAAAUAGUUGAGUAUAUAAUUGAUUAGCCCUACAAUACUAUUUAGCUUUUCAAGGGGAGUGUAUUUAACUUAUUAUAUUAAUUUAUCUGAUCAUAUAAGAGUGAAAAGCUUCCUUUUAAAGUAAUAGAAAAAUAAAAAAUAAAAACUUGAGACACUUCCACAAUAAUUAGUUAGAGGGGAAAAUUACAUGCCUUAAUGUAAUACUUGAGCUAAAUAAGGCAAAUAGGCCAAUUUUUUUUUUCUAAUUAGGCUUUUAGGCUAUUUUUUAGGGCCAGGGUUUAUGGUUUUUUUAGGGUAUUUUGAAAGUGUUCAGGAUUUUCAACUAAAGCAACAGAAGUUUUUAAGUAGUUUUGAUGGGUCGGGAUGUGAUAAUGCGCCUCAGCACACAUAUAUUUCAUAUGUCAUGGCGGGAUAAGACCAUCACCUUAGAAACCCAUUGUGGGGAAAUUCGAUUUCAGGGUAAUAAUGCUUGAUACAAUUAGGGGUCGAAGUCUAGGUAGAGAUUCUAGUCGGCAGUCGUGAUGCGGUCACUUGUUCGAAUAUAACCGGGGGCUAGGUGACAGUCGUUAUGCGGUCAAGAGUUCAAGCUUUUUGGAUACCUGCAAACAAUGUCCUAUAUAUAUCAUACAUAAGAUCGAUGCCAUAAUCGUAUGGAAAAACUCUGGGAACUUCUGGUCUAAUCAAUGUAAUUUUUUUUAUCUAUUUCCAAGCAACCGGUAUCUUUAACCUUUCAUUCUUGUUUGAAAGUUGACACCGAGGUGGACAAAAGAUGACUCUUAGGUGGAAAACAGAUGUUCUAGCACAGUAGAGGUCAAACUUAGGUCGGCGUGACAGUUAUUGUAGUUUCUAAUGGGUUGUGUAAUAAGGUUAAAGGUACCGGUUGCUUGGAAAUGAAGAAAAAAAUUAGACCGAUUAUAGCAGGAAGCCCUAGAGUUUUUCCAUAUGAAUAUGCUGCCAUCUCAACUGAAAACACAUUUUAACUUUCUCUUUAUUGCCACAGUCACUCCUCUUGAAAGCUCUCUUGCCCCCAACUCUGUCACAAUUUUCAAAAAAUUAGGUUAAUGAUACUACUUUAGUGAAGAUAGAAAAAAAGAAUAAAUUGAUUAUACUGGAAAGCCUAUUUGUUUUUCCCUAUAAUUAUGGUCUCAAACUUAUGUAUGUGGUUUAUAAAGCAUCAUCUUUUGGUAUCAUGAAACUUGAACUCGUGACCACAAAACCAUUGUCAACUAGGGACCCAAGUUGUACUUCAAUUUCUGAUUGCAUAAUCACCGCCAACUGGGAGUCCUAGUUAUACUUCAACUUGUAACUGUAUAACCACCGUGAACUGGGAGCCUGAGUUGAAAUGUGAUGGGCUUUUAAGGUGAUGGUUUCAUCCCCACACGAUAGAUGAAAUGUAUGAGUCUUCGAGCGUCAUCGUAUCAUCAUUAACUCAAACGUACAUUAAAACUAUCAGAAUGUUUACCUCAAACACAAACACAAAUAAAUCAUUCUCUCCAAAUUUUCAACACUAACACAAUUCUUUUUUAGAAACAAAAAAUGUAUCUUGCAUGAAGCGUUUUUUGCUGAGUUGGCAGCAGAGAGCCUGAAAGCGUGUCCUACAAUGUGCGCUUUCAGCCCCUAGCUAGUAUCUCAGCAAAAAAACGCUUCCUGUAAGACGCGUUUUCUGUUUCUCUUUUUAAAAUCGACUUAUUUUUCUAAAUAUUAAAAAAUAAAUUUAAAACCUUAAAUAUUUUUUAAAACCGAUCUUUCCUUCAAAUUUACCAUCUAAAUAUGAUAUUAUUGUGAAAUAAAAAGAUAUCGCGUAACACAAAAAAGAAAAUAUAAAAAAUAUAUGAUAUCUUUUGUACGUUUACAGUAAAAAACAACGUUAAGAUAAUAUAAUUAUUUAUGAAAUCUGUCAAGAAGUAUGUUACAUUUAGAUUAGAUCUAUGGAUUCCAAUAUAAAUUUGAUCUAACUAAACAGAUUUGGCGGCACAUUUUACGUUUCAUACAUUACCCACGUGUCACCAAUAAAUGAUUAGCAGAUUAUUAUAAACUUUCCAUUACAAUUAAUUUCCCUCUACAAUGGUAAUUUAUGGCAAUAAAAUAAUUUUAAGGAAUAAUGAUUUUUUUUCUCUUUAAUUCUAAAUAAAAUAAAUUAUUUUAGCUUAUCAUCUAAUUUUUCUGUCUCUUUUAAUUAUUAAAUUUAUAUUAUUUAUCAAAUUACUUGAAAAUGAUAGAAAAAAUUAAUAUUUGUUAACAUUUUAAACGAUUAAUUAAUUGCAGACAUGACAUCUAUAUCAUAUCAUCUCAACAAAAUUAACAAAUAUUAAAUUUUUCAUCAAUUUUGAAGUGAUUUAACAAACAAUGUAAAUUGAAAGACUAAAAAAAUAAUUAAAAAAUGACUAAAAUGACUUUUUUUUUAAUAAGUUAGAGGGACAAAUAAGUUAUUAUGCUUAAUUUUAAUGGGAAACAAUAUUACAACUCUUUUUUUGAAUAUUAAUCUUGUUAUAAGUUAUUAUCAUAUGUACUAUUUUUUAUACAAUGUUUAAAAUUACCCAUAAUCCUCUCCAAUACUUAAAUAAGAGAUGAUGCGCUCAACGCACUCAAACCCGCAUAUUUCUGUAUUGAAAACCAUGUCAAUAUCAAUCGAACUAAAACUCAAUCGGCACAAUAUUACAUCUUUUUAAGUCAUCAUUUGAUUAAAACAUAAAUAUUCUAGAAAUUAAUUAUUACAAGUUUGCAUAUAAUAUAAGAAUAAUUUUAAACAGAAACAAUAUAGCUUUACAUUUUAUAUUUUCACAAUAGACGAUAUUAAAUUUAAAGAAAACAUUAAACUAUUUUAUUUACAGCGUCACGCCACAUAAUAAUAAUAAUAAUAACAAUAACAAAAUUAACACUACUACUAAUAAUACAUUACCUAAGAACAAAGUAAUUAAAUAACGAGGACUAAAAUGUAAAUAACUAAAGAUAAAAAGGCUGAAAGAAAAUUAUACCUUUAACUUCACAAGAAUUUGGGCAUUUAAAAUGGCUCCACCCAUUGUUUUCAGAAAAAGAAAGUCAACCCAUUUCAAUUUCUAACUCUAAUUUUUUUCUUUUUCCCUAUUGAAUAUUUUUUUCUACUUUCUCUUUUUAUUUCUUAUUUUUUUUCAACACCUUUCCAUUUUUAUUCUAAAACGUAAAGCAUUUAAAGUUUAUUCCUUCAAGCCCUAGCCAUGUUACCUCCGUUUUUGCCGUUUGCUACGCCAAUAACCACAAUUUUAGGGAGUAUGGAAUUUAUUAAAUAACCACAAACGGUAAUGAUUGUAUUAAAAUUUUAAUUAAAAAAAUAGAUAAAUUAAAUUUUAAAAUUUUAAAAUAUAGAGAUUAAAUUUUUAAUUUUGAAGAAGUACAUAAAAUAAUAGAAAAUUUUAACUAUUUUGUUAUUAUAAUUUUACUUUAGGCAUGAUUGAAUGGCGAAAUGCCGAAAGAUACGAAUCUAUGAUUAAGAAUUUCUUUCCCCUUCCAAAGAAAGCAUGGAAAAGAAUCGUCGGCGUGAGAAAUGGCGGGUGUGUGUGUUUCUAACUCAAAGAGCACGUUUUUGGGACACUGUUAGUUUAAAAUAAUAAAACGUAAAACCAUAGUAAAAUUUAAAAAAUAAUAAACAAAGUAACACUUUUUGUAGUCCUAAGUAACUUUUAAAGCUAAUAUUCAGCUUAGCACUGUUCGUUUUUCGCCCACAAAUAUACCAUAGCACGAUCCCAUUGAAUGGAAAAUCAAGAUGAAGAGGAGGAUGUCAACUUCUGUAAGCUUCUCUCUCGCUCGCUUUUUUUUUUCUGCCUCAUGUUUGUGCUAUGAAAGGUUAUUAUCUUGUUUGUUGGGAUUCUCAGUUUUGAUUUUUUUUUAAAAGAACAUUAUUUUUAGAGAAAUCAUGGAAAAUUGUUCUGGGGUUUUGCUCAUUGGCUUUGGAAACGAUGUUGGGAGUAUGGUUUUGUGGGUUUGGUUCUGUUUUCAGUUUUCUCUUUUAAUGGAAGCGUUGAGUAGGGAUUGUUAGCCUACUGUUUAUUUUGUGAUUGAUCACAAGUUGCAUAUUAUUAAUCGAGUUAAUUUUGUCCUAGCUCCUCAGUUUAAAGAAAGAAAAAAGGGUUUACUGAUUUGGAAAUGAAGGUGAACCUUACAUGCUUUGGUUGGUUUAAGGGUAGGAUUGGAUCAUGUGAAUGACUGGAAUAAGAGUACGCCAAGUAAUUAACUUAUUGUUGCUGUGUUCUUAAAGUUGAUGCAUAGGGGUUUGCCUGUUUUGGUUUGUAGUGAUAUCAUAUGGUCUAAAAAUCCCUCGUUACACUGUCUGUAACAUAUUGUUACUCCGUGUAAUUCAUGUUAAGAGCACGGUUUACUCUAGAAUUGCAGGGAGGAAGAUGAUUUUGCUUUCUGGAAUUUCACUCAUGUAUUUUUCAGAAAAGCAUUGUGCUUUAUGAGUUUUAAGUUAUACUAUGCAUUAGAGUUAGAACUGAAUGAUCCAGUCAGUCGAAAGUUUGAUCUGAUAAGUGGAAACACCGAACAGUCUGAAAGCCUGUUGAGGAAUUUAACAACGCAUCACACUAGCUACCUGCAUUGACAAACUUUUCCAUUCCCUUAGAUUGUGGUUGGAUUAAUUGUUACCCUAGUGUUAGGUUAGGAGUUGGACUUCUUAGUGUUGGCAUGUAAAAGUUGUGUUGCUUUUUUUAGCUGUACUUUGUAAGCCCGCGUUACUGUUAGGAAGGCAAAUAUAUAUAUAUAUCUCAUUUCAGAUUGCUGCUUUCAAUCUGGAUUGAAAGUUCUUUGGUACAUUAUCCUGUCUUAUCCUUAUUGUUUCCUUUUACUCUCAGAUAUCUACAAAGACAGAACCUAAAAGGCAGAGAUUAUUUACUCACUGCUUCCUCCCCAUGAUUCUUUUGCUAUCUGCUGCCUUCUUCAUUGGAAGUGCAUUUAUAAUCACAGACUAUAAAGAGGUAUUCACGUCAAAGCUGUUUGAGUAAAGUUGAAAACAAUCUUAAACCUGAAAUAUAAAACUCGUGUUUAUAUAAAUUUCUUUUUAUAACAAAGUGGGAACUGGGGAUUUCUUCUUUUUGUCUUUUGUGUUUAUAUGAUUUUCUUUUUAUAAUUCGUGCAUGGUAAUGUACCUAGGAUAGUUUUUAAUCCAAUUCAUUAACAUAAGGAAUAUAAAACUCCAAGACUCUACCAUGCAAAUGAACUGUAUUAUAUUUCCCGAAAUCAAGUAAAUAAUGUGUGAUCUGGGGCCUUGUCUGUGCAGAAAAUUCUAGGAUGGGGGUCAGUUAUGGUUUUGCAGUACUCAAGAUCUAAGAUGUGUGAGGUUUGUUUGGUAUAUGUUACAUUAUGUCUGUUCCACACUGCAUGAAAACACACAUAUUCUCCUAACUAUUCCUUUUCUGUCCUUUUUUCUGUGUUACUUGUGCUUAGACUCAGUGCAGGGCUUAUGGAAGUGAAGCAUUACCUAGAGGAAUCAUUUCUGAAACAUCUGACUUGGAAAUGCGGCCAUUAUGGGGUGCGCAGAAUAAGAAGGUAAGCAAUUUUGUUGCUAAUAUUCAACGGCAUUUUUGAUCCUUUGGAAGUUUUGCAUUCCUGAAUUACUGCUAAGUGGACUACCAUUUUUCCUGUUGUUCAGUUUGUUGUCUAAAUCAUUAUAGCUGCAUAAAGUGCUGACCCUUUUUCGAGAUUGUAUUAACUGAUGAUCAUAUUAUCUUCUGUGUUUCAUAUUUGACUAUAUAGUUUAUUCUGGUCAGUGGCAUUUAGAUUUGCAUUUUUUUCCUUUAUAGUUGAGAUAACGACAUAACAUUAUGUACACUGUUCAGUUUUCAUGACUAUGUUGCCACAAUUAAACUACUUUGUCUUACUAAACUCUGACCUCCAUUUUGCUACUUCGAUGUGCGGCUUCAACCUUCAUCAUUUCUUUUUGUCUGGAAUCUCUCAGGCAUUUUAAUUUUACAAGAGGCGGCAGUUGCCAACUGCUAUCACUACCAAGGGUAAAACCUUGAGAAUAUUGAUCAGGCUUGGUUUUCUGGUCAACAUGUGAUAAACUCUUAGAUUUGUAGUGCUAUGUGGCUGACUUAUGCUCUUUCACGGUUGGGGCUAAGCUAUGUUUGUAAUUAGUUAUCCUUUUCAAAUUUAUAUUGACCAUUGUUAAAUCAUAAAUGUGACUAUAAGUGCAGUUCCUAUAGUAGUAAUUUGUAUUUUUAUAGUUUUGAGUUUUAACAUGUUGAGUUGAUUUUAAUGGACAUUUGGCAUAUUGCUAUUUCAUUAAUUUGUUCUCAUUUACUUUUGUUUAGAAGCCAAAGUUGUCAAUGAACUUGUUAGCCAUCGCAGUCGGAAUAAAGCAAAAAGAAAAUGUCAACAAGAUGGUCAAGAAGGUGAAAGGACUAACUUUACUUUUAUGUAAUCAUUUAGAUUAAUGUUAAAUUCCAUUCUUUUGCUUCAUUUAUGUUAAUUUAUUUUAUUUCUUUCUUUUUUUGCUCCUUUUAUUCUAUGUCGCAGUUUCCAGAGAGUGAUUUCGUUGUGAUGCUUUUCCAUUACGAUGGCAUUGUGGAUCAGUGGAAGGACUUAGAGUGGAAUGACCGUGCUAUACACGUGUCUGCUGUCAAUCAAACCAAGUGGUAACUGGUCAUUAGCUAUUUGAUAAUAAUAAAUAAAUAAAAACCCUUUUAUACAUGUGUAUUCAGUUCAAAGUAACUUGGUAUUGCAUGACCUACUCUCACUAAUUAGGUGGUUUGCAAAGCGCUUCUUACAUCCAGAUAUUGUUUCGGAGUAUGCCUACAUCUUCCUCUGGGAUGAAGACCUUGGAGUUGACCACUUUAAUGCUAAAAGGUUCAUUGUGCAAGUCUUCCUUUCGCACAUUUAACUUAGUAGUAAUUCACAAUCUUUUGCAUGCUUGUAUAAAGGAUAGUGCUUAGAGAACAACUGAAUAUAAUUGUACGAAACUGAAGUAGGAACUCGAGCUGGUGAUUUACUUCAGGGCCAUUCAAAAAUUGAUUCUCUCCUCUUCAUUACUUAAAUGCAGAUAUCUUUCAAUAAUUAAAAAUGAAGGGCUUGAAAUAUCUCAGCCAGCACUUAAUCCCGAGAAGUCAGAGCUGCAUCAUCCAAUUACAGCAAGGGACAAAAAUUCUACAGUACACAGGUUUUCUCUCUUCCUAAAAUCAUGUUCAGGAAUGAUCAAAAUGUUUGUCUCGUGAUAAAUUUUUAAUACAUUUAUCAUCAGUUGAUUGAACAUAUAGAGCUUGGUGGAUUUAUCCUAGUAAUAACUGUACAUUUAUUCUCAAGAAUUUCCAGAAGCUCAUCAUCAUUUUAUCCCUUGAUUUUAGUCAAAGUAAAUUUAUUUGCACCCAUUUGUAACAUGUCUAUAUUCGUCAGGAGGACGUACAAGGUGAUUGGUAGGACAAAGUGUAACGAAAACAGCACUGGUCCUCCUUGCACAGGGUAAUAUGAAUUUGCCCAACUUUUUCUGUUCGUAGUUCACAAUACCAUAAGUUGUUACAUAUACAUAUUUCCUUAGCUUAUAGUUUCUUCUGAAUUGUUUCUGGACAUGUGAUUUAAUUAUCUGUUCAUAUGGAGUAACGAAAGAGAAUAUUGCGUAUUACAGAUUUGUAGAAAUGAUGGCGCCUGUUUUCUCCAGAGCAUCUUGGCGCUGUUCCUGGCAUAUGAUUCAGGUAUAUUAUCCAAACUAGAAUGUAAUACUAAUAAAACAUGUUGAAGGUUGAUUUGGAAUCCUAUAAAAAAUCAUUACUAUUUUACUCUUUAGUAGCUAUGUUAUUAAUUAUGUUAUUCAAAUUCUUCAUUUUUCUUUAAGUAUUAAUGUAUAAUGCAUAAAUGGACAACGUCCAAGGACACUCCAAAUAAAUGGAAAAACUUUUAAAAAAUUGAACAUACCAUGUCUAACACUCACAUCUAAGUCCGAGUAACAUAGGUUAUUAUUGUCAGUGGCUUAAAUGAAAGAUAGAGUAGGGAUAGCCAGGAUGUUUGUCUAUUUUAAUUUUCUAAUAAUAAGGUUGAAGAUGGAGUAUUUCUUGUUCGAAAGAAUCAAUGCAGCUUAAGAUCCUACCACUAGUGAUAUCAUUUUUCCCAACAUAAUCAACUUCUAAAUUAUUUAAAUGUCCAUCUAACUUGACCAUAUUGUUUCAAUUAAAGCUCAGUCAUUAAUUUGUCCUUAAUCUCAUUCUUUGUUUCUUGGUUGUAUCAGAGUGAUCUGGUUUUAGGAUGGGGAUUGGACUUUCAGCUUGGUUACUGUGCACAGGCAAACUUCUAUACCUAAAGAGAAUUAAAAGCUCCUAUCUCGUAUUUUCAACAUAUUUCUUACUAUGCUUUCUUUGACAGGGUGAUCGGACCCAAAAAAUUGGAAUUGUCGAUUCUGAGUACCUUAUUCAUGAUGCGCUUCCCACGCUUGGAGGCUCAGCAGAAAACAAGGUAAGAACUUCUUAAUUAAUACCACCUUAUAAAAUGUCUCCCUCGAUUCGAUCAAUCAAUUAGAAGUGCUUAGAAAGCUUAAAUUCUGUUUGGUUGUGCCUCAAUUUAAUCCGAAGAUGAUUCUAAAGCUUUCCAAAGCCUUCCUUCUUUAUACAUUUUUUAAUUCAGUACGUAUGGACAAGUCCCGGGGGGGGGGGGGGGAGGAUCAAGGUUGAACCCUUGACCUUGAUUGUGCAUUAUAGGGUUAAAAGAGAGACUAUCAGCCAUGAGUUUUCUGAUCACUUGAUCUCUGCAUCUUUUACGGGUUGAUGAUAGCACUCUAUCUAUGGCUAGUAUAUACCAUUUUCAGCUAUUCUGAUCAAACUUAAUUCAGUUCUCGUUCACAAGUCAAACCAUUCACAACCUGAGCCUCGGGUUUUGCUUUUGUACUUGGCUUGAAUUAAGUUUCAUGACCUUAAAAAAUUCUAGUGACAACGGUAUACGUUCCCCAAGAUUGACCAUCCAUUUCCUCAUCUCUGCUAGUUAUUUAUUCUUUAAUGAUUUCUCCAUUUGCAGGUAUCAUCACCUUCCAGUGAGUCUGGUGGAAGAUCUGAGGUAAACCUUGAACUUAAUCUUUUAUGCAAUGUUGAAGCUUAUUUCGCUCAGCUAGUUAUAGCCAGACCUCUUGGAAAAUUCACCGUUGGAUUGUGUAUAAAUUUCCGUUUUUACAGGUUAAAAAGCAAUCCUACAUUGAAUUAGAGAUCUUCAAAAACAGAUGGAAGAGAGCCAUAAACCAAGAUAAUUGCUGGUCUGAUCCGUAUGAACAGUCGACAAAAAAACAGAAGUAAUGCUCACAUAAAGACAUGGGUCAGAGGAAAUAUUUGGUUCUUGAAGGGCAUGUAAAGGGUCACGAAUACGGCAUUUUCAAAACAAGGAAUACAAUAGGAAGAAUUACACUUCAAAGCAUCUGCGGAAUAUUUGUCUUGAACUAUAGAUACAUGGAAUUUUAGCAAUUUUUCAUACCCAGAAACUGUUAAAGCUUCUUAUUGUAGCAAACCCUUUCAACUCCAGUUAUUUUUUUAAAAUACCAAUUAGUCAUACUGGAUAUAGGAAAAAUGAAUAUUAACUACAUACUAUAAAUCAAACUUCAGUUGCCUUAUCCUUUUUCAAUUCUGAAUUUUUGGUGAGAUCAGUUCCAGUUCCAAUUCCAAUCAUAAUUUCUGUCACAAGAAUGUGAACACAGUUCAUUUAUGUCUUGCUUGCAAUGCAAGCUUCAAAAUGCAUAAGCCACCCAAAAAAAAAAAAAAAAAAAGAAGCUAUAGUGAAUGAUAUUAGAAUUAAUGUUUACUAGUAGUUUAACUUGCUCUAAAACAAUUGGAACUUAUCAUGUUACGAUCCUUCGGCUGAUAAGUCCGGAAAUGAUACCUCCAAGUUCUUCCCCACUAUCUUCCUGCACAUGAUGUCCUGCCUGCAGGAAGCAAACCAGCUAAGUUGGUUAAGAUCCCAUGGCCCAACCAUUUAUUAUGGCAGAACUGCUGGUAAAGAUGCAUGAUCCAACUCAUAAACUGAAUAGUUAAAUAUACAAGUAUGAUGGAGUGGAACAAUCAUUCGAGCUCUACUUUUAUUUUAGUUUUAGAGGUGGAAAUUAGGUGGAUUUCCCUAACAGCAUCACAAAUACUCCGCAGAGGCAAAUUCUUAAUUUAUUUUGAUUUCUGCAGGUGAGACCUCACAAACAUACAGCUGCACCAAAGGUUGAAAUGGAAUUUUAGUUAAAAGAUGACAUUUAAAUGCUUGACAUAUUGGUACCAUUGGAAGCUCAAUCAGUUUAUGGUUUGAAUUUUUGCAGAAAUCUUCCACUUCAUCGUAGUUCAACCAACGGUCUCUCCAGCCCCAACACACUGUAGUUCGAACUUUCCAAUUUUUAUCCAUAAGAAUUGCUUUCGUAUCUUCCACAUAUGCCUGUCAAGUAAGAAACCAGAAGAAUUUGGCCAUUGCACCUUCAGCAUUAUGCUAUAUAAAUGAAUCAGGAAAUACAGUAUAAGCAUAGUACUAUGGUAGAGGAUUUCCUCAAGAAAGAGGGAACAUGGAAACUCAAAGUUUAAUUCAUGAUAUUUGAUCUGAUUAAAACAGAAGUACGACAAAUAUAUAUAUAGUAAAUGAUAAAUCCACCUUAAGUUCUUUUUUCAUGGCCCUACUAAUUGCAUUCAGUGCAAACCCGGAUGAACCAGACGUAAGAUAAGGUCUUCUAUAAACCAUUGCAUCAUCCUCUUUCAUUGCAUAUGGACCGCAGCUCGUUAGUGCCUUAUCGCUGGCCCUCAAAGGAUCCUAUUCGGAAAAAUAACAAACCAUUAACAAUUUAAUGCUAUUUAUUAUCUCUUGGAAUCAAUCUGUUAAUCCCUAUAAAUGAACUGAUGCAAGCACAAAUUUUCAAAUAAAUUCCGUAGAUAUCAUGCUUUACCUGAGAAAAAAUUUCACCCAGCAAGAAGUUGCUGAAUAUGGAUAAUGUUGAAGGAAGGUUGGCAUGUUUGGCUGUUAGCUGUAGUAAUCAAGUUUAUAAAGUAUUUGUGCGGUAUAAGCCAAAUUGGUUAUCUGGAUAUAAUCAUUAAUUGAACGAUAGUUAGCAGCAUAGCAAAAAACAAUAACUUAACAAUAAAGCUUCAGGACUCAUUCAUACAGGAGGAUUGAGGAGAAUUAGAUCAUUAAGCUUUUCCUGAUGCUUGCUGGCAUAUUUAACAACAACUGGUGAAAAGUAGCCCUGAAUAAACACAAAAGAUCAAAAAUAUGUUAAGCUAUAUGUCACACAGUAAUUUACAAGUGUUAAUUGCAUGUCUUCUUGUCUACACAUACUGAAAGAUAACAUACUUGGACAACAAGUGAAACUUUAUUGGUGGCAACUUCAUUAACAAAGGACUCCAAUGCUGAGACAUAUUCUGCAGGGACAAAAGGAAAAAUAAAAUUGAGAGGGAGGCAGAUAAGCUUUAUUCUUAGUUUAUUUCGAUUUUAUAUUCUUAAUUUAGUUCGUUGAAAGUAGAUUCAAUUGCCAGGAAUGCAAAGCAUAACCACUCAGUGUGUAAUCAAAUCCAUAUCUGGGUUGAGGCUUAUCUGAAAAUCCGAAUCCUGUUGAACAAGAGAGGUAUGAUUUAGUAUGCGCGCAGCAUGAAGAAAGAAAACAUUAACAUUCGCUUAGAUUCAUUUAAAGUUUUUAUUGAUUGAUAUGUAGUCCGAAAAUAAAAAGGAAACCAAUCUUCAAAAGAAAAUUCAUAAAAAAACUAUAUCCAGGUCAUCCAUUUUGUAAGUCCAAACUUUCAAAAUGCAGGUCUUUAAUGAAAAUUUCAAACUAUUAAACAAUGCAAAAUCCAUGCAUUCUCAGAUAUCAUAAAAAAUGGUCCAAUGCAGACAAUCUUGCAUAUGACAUAUAAUAUUUGCAGAUUAAUGAAGUAAAAUACAUGCACCCAAAAAUAUGCUCAUCUAUAUCAAGAAGAAACAUCAGCCAAAAGAAAGAAAAAGAAGGGCACAAAAAUUUAAACUAGCAUGUUUGUGCCAGUAUGCCUUUAUGAUUGCAAGCAAAUUAGCAAUGAUUUUCAUUCCAGAUGCUAUAGUUGCUAUGUCUCUAAGCCAAACCAAACUCUUUUAGAAGCAAUUUCUAGGCUAAAACUAAACAAAUUCUCAAGAAAACCCUAUUGUAAUAUUGAAAAGUCACAAUAUAUGGAUUGCCUCUUACCAUAAAUACAUUCUUAAGCAGACCAUUAUACUUAAGAAAACCCUAUUUCACAGUUCCUGACAAGUCUCAGAAGACCAAAAGCUAGAAUGAUAUUAAGAACUUGGUUUUUCUCAAUAUAUACAAGUCAAAAUGAAUCAAUUAUCUUACCUAGCCAAUCAAAAGCUAUAGCAUGAUAAUUCUUGGAGAGAACAGGAAGGACUUUGCGGUAAGAGUAUGCCUGCCAGCAAAACUAAGUCAUCACAUCUAUAGAUCAAGUACCAUAAUAGGAAAAGAAGAAAAGCUAGUUAUGAAGAAGAUCGUCGAAUUCGUAAUGACUUUGAUAAUUGUGUUGUGGCAAACAGGACUAACCUGUGAUGGGAAACCAUGAAUCAAAAUAACUGUAGGAUUAUCAGCAUUUCCACUUUCCACGCUAAACCAUCUAUUUCAUAAAAUCAUAAAUAGAUAGAGAGCAUGUUUUAAUCCUGCAAAUGAUGAGACCUCAAUUUCUUGCAUGACAUUGAAACCUAAAAUCAAUACUAAGAGAAUAAAAUAUUGAACUCACUAAAAGGAAACCAAUAUUAAACUCAUCCCAUCGAUUGGAAAAUAACAUUUAGAUGUAACAAUCGAAGAUAAUCCCAAUAAAAAAAGAAAAAGGUAAUUACCUGAAAACAUCACCUGAAGCUUGAGAGCCAGUUCCCAUGGUUAGUCCAAAAAUUGGAUCUUUAGCUUUCUCACCAGUGCCACCCACUGGAUAAGCUUUAACCUAGCAAGAGAAAUUGAAGUAAAAUAAAGAAAACCAAUGGAAUAAUUUAAGUCCUCUAGUAACUAAAAUCCAGGCAAUAGGCAUGCAUUACUCACAAAUUUCCCUUGCUUAAACCAUUCAUCAGAUGGGUUAGGUCCAUCUGAAUAUUUUCCUGUCAACAACAAACACGUUUCAAUUCAAUCAUUAAGUCGACGAAUAAUGCAUUACGUUUUAAGGGGAAAAUAGUUGAAAUAUGAAAGUACCUCCGCUAAACGAAAAGCCAUCACCAGCUGAAACAGGAGCAUCAAUCAGAUAAUCCUGAAAAAACCCAACAUCAUAUUUCACACAAAUUAAUGGUUUGAAUCAUCACUAAUGUAUGAAAGAGUUGGGGGGGGGGGGAAGAGAGGUUUACAUCUUGUGGGUCAUUGGCGUCUGAUGUGCUGCGGCUAAGUCUGAGAGUGAGAGGUUUUCGUUGAGCCUUGGACUUGAAAGACCCACCAUUGACAAGUGACAGAGAAGAAGUGGGAGAACAAAGAGAACUUUGAAACUGAUGAGAGAAGAGAGUAGGAGGCUUGCCUUGGAUUGCCAUUACGUUUGGAGGAAGACAGAGUUGUGACAAAUAGACGGUUAACCGUUGGUAUUUUUUCUAAUAAAAAAAACGUGGCUUUCUCACUACUCAUUAUGAUUCAUGCGAGGAUAGGGAUUCUCUGGUUCUUAUUACAUGUGUAUUGUCACAUCUAUAUCUAAUAUUUUGACCCUCAAUAACCAAAUUAAAAGAAAACUUUAUAACAAAAUUGAAAAAAAAAAAGUUAGAGAAAUUAUUUUAUAAUUUUUUAAUUUAAUUAAAAAAAGUAAGUAAAAUUGAAUCACCUGUAAUUUAGUUUAUUCUAUAUUUUAUAAUAUAAAAAUUUGGAUUGAAUGUCGAAGAUGCCAUUUCACAAAAAAAUGUAAAAAAAUUCAUGUUAAACCAUUAUAUAUUAAGCAAUGAGCAUCCUUAGCACCAUAUAAUGAAACUGUUAAACUCUUAUUAAGGGCACAACAACAAGAUAAAAUGUGUUAUCGAAUUUUGUAGUUCUUAUUAUCCGUGUUCCUCAAAUGAAUUUCUUAAUUAUUGAGAAAAUUAUCUAAAAAAUAGUAUAUAAGAUGUACCCAGUAAAACUUACAAAUAAACUAGAUAUAGGGAUGGUGAUUAAAGUUGUUGUUUCCAUUAUUAUAUAAUUUUAAGAUCACAAUAGGUUUAUGAUAAGAUUGUUUAUUUACAGCGGAAUAAUAUAUAAAAUCAGAUUAAACUGAAUGCAAAAUAAGAUUUAUGGUUCUUUAAUAAAUGUCACAAUGACUUCAUUUGCAAUAUUCUUAUCUAUUAUUUUGAAGAUUUAUAAUUCUUCCGUUUUACUAGAUGAAAUUUUAAUAAAUUAGAUUCAUAAUAAUCAUGAAACCUCGUUUUUCAAUAUAAAAAUUAAAAUUAAAUUGCACAACUAUUUCUUUUCUUUUAAUUAUUAAUUAUUAAUUAUUAUUUCCCUUUCAUUACUUUUUUUUUUAUUUUUCAUUCCUCUCUUUCAAGACUCUCUUGUCGUGGCGAACGUGAACGCCAUCUUCGGUCACAAACAGUCACUGAAAACUGAUGUUAAAUGAACACUUGAACACAAGUUAUUUACUUUUUACUACUCCACUUAUGGGUGGGUUAAAAAAGAGUCAAAAGUUAUAUAAAAAAAAUUCAAGAUUUUGAGUUGGGCCUCGGUAGCUAAAUACAAGCUGGGCUCUCAACUCAAGCUUCAUCUCAUUGCACUUCUAGACUUUCUGGUCUCUGGGCCUUUGCCUCUGUUCAAGAAACGACAAGCCGUUUUAAGCUUUGGUACACUGAACUGAACUGCUGAAAAACGUCUCAUAAGGACAGGUUUAUCUGCUUCCCGGAGGCAUAUAUCUCCGACCAGAACUGAACUGAAAAACCUUUAUAAAAAACACACACACACACUAAACGAAGCCGAAAUGGCACUGCAUAUUGUGAAGCUUCCCUUUAUCUCGCGCUGCUGCGAUAGCAGUAACUCUACUCUGUUUUUCUUAUCGAAAUCCUACUCUCCUCUUCAUGGUACCCACUUUUCCUCUCUGUAGAUUCAUUCACUCUAUAUGUAUUUGCAUUGUUCUGCGUGCGUAAUUGCUUAUAGCGGACGUUUAUAUGCUUGUUUUCCGAUGUGGGCUCUUUUCCCUGUUCUCUUUUAGUCAUUUUCACAUACACUUCUGAUUGUCGAUAGGAUUGGAGAAACAAGGGUUUUCCUUUAAUUUAUCAUUUGUGGGGUGCUUUUUUUUUUUUAUAUGGUUCAUUUUGUCUUUUACCUUUUUGGGUACUAAUGGAAGGGAUUUUAUUCUGGGUUUUGACCAUAUGGGUUGCUGUGCUCUAAUAAUUUGAUUGUUUGGGAUUCUGUUUACAGGGAGAUUGCUCAAAUCUCAUUUACAUAGAAGCUUUGCUGUUUCCAAGUCAGAAAAACUUCAAAUACCAAAAAAGUAAGCCUAUAUGAAGUAUACUACCUAUUCAAAGAUGGUUUUUUGUUUCAUGCCGAUACAUACUGUAACAGCCAUAACAGCGACACCGGUAAUGCCAUUGGAAAUGGAAGAAUAUGCCAAUUGCCAAGUUACCCUAUCUUAGUUCAAGCCUCACAUUGGUCCCAGCAAUCUGUGUCUUUUCGAUUUUAUAUCUUAUUGUUCUUAAUGACAUUUCAGGAAAAAAAGGUUGGAUGAGUUAUGUCUUGAAAGGUUUCAGCAGUACAGUCGAACAUUCAUAGUCAUGGAUUUUGCAAGGUAAAUGAGCAUCUUCAAUUGCAUGUGUCCCUUUAUUCUGAUGCACUUUGAGUUAUUGUUAUCCCAGUUCUUGGAUAUAUAUUUAUAAGAAGAAUCAGUUUGUAGAAAUAAUGAAGAACUACCUUUUCAUCUUUCUGUUACAUCUAUGGUGCAGGCAAAGUUUGUGUAAAUGGAAAAGUGGUUAACAAAGCUGGAACAACUGUCUCUGACAAAGCUGUUGUAGAAAUCAUUGCUGAAAUUCCAAAAUACGUAUGUAGGUGAUUAUUCUCUGAAACAUCCAUCCUGCAUUAUCCUUGGAUUUUAUUGUUGAGAUGUUCAAGGUUAAUUUCAUUGUUACAUUUGGUGAUCCAGAGCAGGAUAUAAGUUAGAAGCUGCUAUAGAACAGCUCAGUGUUGAUGUAGCUGGCAAAAUAGCGCUUGAUUCUGGGUUGUCCACGGGAGGAUUCACCGAUUGCCUGCUUCAGUAUGGUGCAUCUUAUGUUUAUGGGGUUGAUGUAGGUUAUGGACAGGUACUAAUUGAAAAAUUUGUAAUAAUAUGUAUCAUGUUCAUAUGAAGUACUUUCAUAAGUUUUCAAGUGCAUGCAUGAGAAAAUAUGUGUAUUAGUGUAUUGCAUCAUCGGGUCAAAUUUACAUAUCAAAUUCCACUAUCAUGAUAUGUUCUAAAAUUGUAGAGCAAUUUUUCUUAAAUUAAUUCUCUCAAGAAGCUCAUUUAGUAAGGGAAAAGAUUAAAAGCAAGUGGUAUAUUUUUGUUUUUUCCCCUUAAUUCGGGCAUUUCUAGCGAGUUAUGCUUAUGUAACACAAGAUUUAGCCUAUAACCUAUAUGAUUUUUAGAAUGUAAUGUCAAAAAAUUGGUUGGAUUAGUUUAAUUACCUUUGGAGAUACUGUUUUCGGAAUGAACUUGUAUUGAUUUGCUCGCUCGAUAUAGAUUAAUAUUUUAAUUGAAAAGUGACUGGGUUUCUGUGAGUUUCUUUCGAAUACUUAUAAGUUAUUAACAGUACUUUAUUUGUUGACCUUCAAUUUUUUAAUAACGAAGCUUUAUUUAUACAAUUUUGUAUUUUAAUGAUUCUUGACUGCAUUUGGAUUUCAACUUUGAAUAGGUAGCAGACAAGAUUCGUCGAGAUGAACGUGUUUGUGUGAUAGAACGGACAAAUUUAAGAUAUCUUUCCGGUCUCCCUAAAAAAGUUGAUCUGGUGACACUGGACCUUUCAUUUAUAUCUAUUCUCUUGGUAAGCUUUCAAACAUUUCCAAACUGCUUUCAUAACAUACUUGCAUUACCUUUUUUUUUUUUUUUUACCUUAGUUUCUUCUCCAAUUCCAUUAUGCUUCUUCUCUCCUCGUAAUUUCUUAGAUUUAUCUAAAAGCUUAUUUGACUUAGCAAUGAUCUGCUGUGACGUGUGUAUUUACUGUGUAUUUACUGUAAGAAAGUAGACAAGGCGGACUUACUGUUCACUUUAACCAAGUAGUACUUUUUUUAGUCAUGGCAUGCUAACAAUCUUAAACAGGUCAUGCCUGCUGUAGUAAAUGCAAUGAAGGAGGAGGCAACUUUAGUUACCCUGGUUAAACCUCAGUUCGAAGCUCGUAGAUCACAAGUAAGGAAUAUAUAUAUGCCUGCCUUCAGAUUGUAUGUUUUCCAUUUUUCAGUGAAUCUGAUGUACCAUAGUUAUAACAUGUGAGGGUCUUCAGCCUACUUAGCUUGGGAUUUUACAAGUAAUCCAACUUUAAUGCCUUUGCAGGUAGGAAGUGGUGGGAUAGUGAGAGAUCCCAAAGUUCAUCAGGAGGUUCUAUUUUUUUUGUCAAAGCCAGUGUUAUUGAUCUGAAAAAAGAAUAACAUCAAUAUGAUUUAAGAUUUAUUAUGUUUCUUUGUUCAGGUUCUUGAAAAGAUCAUUAAGGGUGUAGAGAACUUUGGAUUUCAAAGCAAAGGUUGGAUUGAAUCUCCUCUAAAGGGUGCUGAAGGUAAUACUGAGUUUCUUGUUUGCUUCAGUCGGAUUUCCGAGAAAAGUUCUGAAUAGUUUUAUCAUAGGAGGAUACAUUGAUAUGUGAAUUUGCAAACACACUCGUGAUAUUGUAAAGUCAUGGAAGAUUUUAUGUGGACAGUUUCAUUACCACAUGCAACAUUGUAUUCGAAAAGAAGAAACAAAUAUAUAAAAUUUUAGACAAUAACUUAGAACUAGGCUUAGUUGGUUUAUAUAAUCACUUAUACAGUAAAUCUGAAAUUCAAAUCUAGUAUUUAUAAUCCUUUUCCUUAUUCCUAAGUGACUAAAGCCUCUUUUGAGAUUGGAUUUCUGUCAUUUUAAUGCCUAACCCUAGCAGAGUAAAAUGCUCAUGUUCUUUUUCCUCUAGCAUUACAUUUAGCACUGAUAUCUCUAUCAAUCUAUAUAUAUAAAAACUAUUCUACUCAAGAAAUAUUGUUAAAUGUACGGAUGUGUACCUGCUACUGUACCUGUUGAGGCUGUAUUUCACCAGCAAUCUGCGUAUGAAAUUUCUUUUCGAAUUCAGCAACAUAAUCCUCCAUGUAUGCCUGAUAAGUUUCCAUCCCAGCAACCUUCCUAGCAAGUUCCAACCCAGCAUUCAUCCACUUCUUUGCCACAUUGAUCUCUCCCAUUCUUACAGGUAUGGCUGCCCGAUUCCACGCAGUCAUUGCAAGCCAUUUACCCUCUUCGGUUGGAUAUUCCCCUUCCUUCAACCCAACCAUUAUUCGGUAUGCUUGCUUGUACAUACUGAGCACUGCAUCGUCAUCUGUGUUACCCUUGUGAAUACUAGCUAUGGCAAUCAAUCUUCGGACAAUGAGAGCCACAUCCUGGUAGUUCGGAGAGGGGGAAGAAAGGAAACCUGAGAGGCACUCGCUGAGGGCAAAGGUUGCUACUUCAGCAUUGAACCUUGGACCUUGCGAGGCAUUCAGGCCAAUUUGGAGAAGAUAUUGAGGACUGCAAGUCUUUGUGCCAGCAAAGUUCUUCACAAUAUGAUGUUGGGACUCUAAAUUAUUCAGUCUUCCAUGCAUAUCAUAGGCAUUGAGCACGUAUAUGAAAUGGAUAUCACCUUCAAUGUUCCCCACUGAUAGUGACGUAAGUAUCUGCAUGCAUGCAUCCCAUUGAAGAAUUAUAUGGAAAAAUAGCUUCAAGAGAAGAAAUAUUAGAAAUACGGCUGCUGCUUCUCAAGCAUUUGCAACGUGAAAAAACAUUUUCAGUUUCUUAUAGAAAAGCAACAUAAGGAAUAAGCAAACAGUUACUGACACAUACCUUCCCUGCUCUUUCUAGCAGCUCAACAGCAUGCUUUACUUCAGCAUCUGGCAAUGGAGUCGUAUUUUGGUUCUCUGAAGCGAUCAUAGCAGAGACAGUCAUGAUCAAUGAUUUGCAAAUGGUGACAUUGUUUUCUUCCAUUUGUCCAACACCCAUAAGACUAUAAAAUCCAGAAACCAAUCUAAGGAAUUCAGCACAUAACUCGUAGUUCUUUUCCUUCCCACACUUUGCUCCAAAAUUCCAUGAAGUUACAGCAAACCAGUUCUGUUCUCGUCUUCCAACCUCACCUUUCCCAAAAAAGCUCUCAGCUCCAAGUUCAGAAGCUCUCUUGUGUGCUUGUUUCAAGAAUUUGAGGACUUCAGCCUCUUUAUCAAGGUCUUGGGAGAGAAUUGUGACCAAUGUCCGUAGCACUACAACUUCUGUUGUUGGCAUCGGUUUCCCAGAGUUGUAAAAAUUUAAGAAGUUUGAAAGAGCAGCAACAGCAACAGGAAGAGCACGGGAAGCAACAGCCUCAUGAGCUGCAAGAGACAGGAAAUCUGGAGUGAAAUCUGGGCAGCUGAUCAUUUUUUGUAUCUGAUUGGUAGCGCCACAAUGAUCAUUCUUUUGCAAACAGAUUUUGAACUGCAUAAAUCAGGAGAGAUGUAAAAUAUUUGAUUAUAUGACUAUCUGCUAAUCGAGUAGUCUAUAGUUGUGAUAAAGCUAGUGAAUCCACCAGUGUCAAACUGUGUAUUAAGAGUUCCAUACAUUGAGCCGAAGAGUACCUUAAGGAAAGCACAUAUGAUGUUUGGAUCAAGCUGCAGAGAUUGAAAAGAUUGAGACAAAUCAACAUACUGCCUGUACCUUCAUCUUAUUAGAUAUACUAAAAUUAAUGGAUCUCAAUACCUUUUCUGCUUCAUUGAUAUAUUCUUGAGCUCGAUCAAGUUGAGUGAGACCAAGGUAACAGAGACACAAAACUCGAUAGCCCUUGGCUCGAAUAACUCUAUUCUCUAAAUCAUGCGGUAUAUAAAGCAUAGAUUUCUCAAACAUCUCAGCACUCGUUUCAUAAUCUUUCAAUCGAAAAUUACCUGAACCACUGCAAAGGCAAAAAUAAACUUUUAGACAAGCGCAUCUACUAACUUAUGUGUUGCGUAUAAAAAAGAAGAAAAAAAGACAUUUCUUGCAGGGCAAUAGACAUAUUGAGAAAGCACAAAGGUAUAGGAUCCUCUUAUCAUUCAAUUGUUGCCCUAUGUCCAUAAUUAUUAUCUCUAAAACAACUGCAUUACUCUUAUUGUGUAAUUGUAGGAAAAAUAUGUUAUCAGUAAGGUAAUUAAUCAUUGAUAUAUUCCUCUCUAAUCAAAAGCAAUGCAACUCCAUAGUUCUCGUAAUAUAUUCAGGAUAGCCAAAAAUCUUCAAUUUGAAUCUUUUAGACAUGCAUUCUUAAUUUAUUCAAUAGAAAAUGGUAGGAAAUGAUCUACCAAACUAACCAAUUCCAAAGAACAGCAUGCAUGGCCGUCCUCUCUUUCGCCACAGCCUCACUAGCAAACAAGGCAACCACUCUCUCAUCCGACGCCAGCUCCGCCACCACCUUCCCUCUAGUCCUCAACCCCUCAAUUCCAUUACCGUCCCCUACCACCCUAUGAAUUACCCUCAGAGCAGCGCGUGCACUAACAUGGCAACGCUCCAACAACCCCAAAAAUACACCUUUCGUAGUUUCCACCCCUGCAUUUCCCACGGCGUGAAAAUAAGUUUCUACUGCAGAGACCCAAACACCCUCCGGAAUCCCUUUAUUUACAACCAUACCCUUCAACUCCUUCUCCGCCUCACUAUACCUCCCUAACCCAAGCCACGCCUUCAUUGCCAAAACUGGCAACGAAGCGUGGUGGUCCCCUUUCUCACCACCGUUUUCUCUUAAAACUUUAACGCACUUGAUCACACUUUCGAACUCUCCGUUUUGUAGAUGGACGGCUGAGAUGAAACGCAUCGUUUUGGAUUUUAAUUCCUUGAUCUCCACCGUUUCUUCCCUUGUUCGUGAGAUAGACAAUCCUUUCUCGCAUAAAUUCAACGCUUCAUUUAGAAGCUUCAACACAUCGUUGAAGCUACCGUUGUUUUCAUUUCUUGAUAAAACAGCUUUUGCAAAAGCUAGGAACUGGUUCGCCAGAGCUAUGAAAUGAGCUGAUGAACCGAAAAGGAGAGUUUUCGACCGAUUCAGUAGUGUUAACGCAAGAUUUUUAUCUGAAAUCUCCCAUGCGGUGCGCGAUCUCGCGAGGUUCAGAUCUAAAAGAAGCUUCCUCUCUUCCGCGUCUAAUAUUUUACUUACAUCGAGCUUGGAGAGAAGAUCCGUGGCUCUCUCAAAACACGUAGAAGCUAGGUCAAAGAUUUUAUGAUCGUGCCAUGCGAGGCCGGUCUUGUAAUAGAACGAUGCGGAUUUUAUAGCCGGAGAAUGGACUCCGACGACGUCAACAGCGAGGGAUAGCAUAUCGGCAGCCACAUGGCGAAGCUUAGUGACAUUUUGAGAAGAGCGAUUGGAAGAUGGAGAGCGGAUGGCGGCUGCAUUAGAGAAGUCGACGCAGGCGUUCCAGAGACGAUAACUGAGUUUCCAGAGGUGGAGUUUGAGAGAGUUGUUGGCGGCGGGGAAGGGAGCGAGUUGAGUCAGGUUUGUCAAAAGUUGGCGCAGUUCAGAAGGGAGCGAGUCGGGUAGCGGGGUCCCGGUUGGAUGGCUCUCUGUUUGUUUGAUUUUGGAUUGAAUUUGUGAGAGGAGUUGAUUGUGUUGAUUUUGGGAAGGGGAUUGCGAGUCGGGUGCGGCGGCAGCUUGAAAGUGCUCCGGCGUUGAGAUUUCUGCUAUUCUCAUUUUUUCCUCUUUCUGGCGCGAAAUUUUGAAAAGGGAAGCGAACAAGUUUUGAAAAGGACGAAUUUUCUGGAGUCAAUAUAUAUUAAUAUUAUAUUUCAAGUUUAACUUUAGUUAUACAAUUUGCAGUUUUUCUUCGCUGACGCUGAAAUUAAAUACAGGAUGAAUCUAAAAGUUUCAAAUUCGAGCUCUUAAGUAAUUAUACAAUUCGCAAUAAAACAUUUAAGUCACCAAAUUUUGUAAUGGAAAAUUAUAACUUUUUUUAACUGUCUGCUACACCGUAUUAAAAUAUCAAAAUAUCUUUUCCUACACCAGAUUAAAAUUAAUCUCGUUUUUACAAAAAUAAUAUACAAAUUCAUUACAUCAACAAGUUUAUAUUAAAGUGAUCUAAAACCAUGACAAUUAACAAUUAACAAUUUUUUUAUCCAAACCAGUAGAACUUCAAAUUGCUCAAGCAAAGAGUUUACUGUUGCGGUAUAUUUAAUCAUGUGAUCCGUAACUUCAUUCUAAAAUUUCAGAAUAUAGCGGACUCGUACUUCCUAUUUCUUAUGCAACAAUUGAUGUAAUAACCAUAAUUCCACCAAACUACUAUUGGUACCUCCACCAACUAAAAUCAAUUCUACUAACAGUGUAUUAUCACAUUUAACUUCAACUUUUCUGCAAAAACCUUUUUCUCAGUUUAUGAAAAGACCUUUCAACAUCACUCAUUACAACUUUAAAAACUGAUUUCUUAUCGAAACCCAUCGCAUACUCACAUAACCAAUUCGAAUCCCUUAAAACUCUUCCAAUGAAAGCAUGUUUGACCACAAAGUGACACCACUCCAUUAGAAUUAAGCUUUAUCCAACCCACAAAAUUAAUUGUCUUUUUCUUUUAAAAUUACUUAAAUACAUCCAUACACAACAAUGGGAAGGUUAACGCUAACAAUUAAGUUUGUAAUGUUACAUUUGAGAAUAAAAUUAUUUUACUUGAAUUUUUAACAUUUUAGUCAUUGUGUAAUUUUAUAUUCUCUAAUAGUACCAAAAUAUAAUAUGUAAUCUUAGUUAUGACUCAUUUAAUAGGUUAUCUUAAAUUACGGAUGUAACCUUAAAAUUUUAGACAAAUUUAUUUAUUUUCUAUUAUUUUAAUUAAUUUAAUUUUUUCCCUCAAAUAAAGUUUAAGAUUAUUUAAAAGCAAAAAUAUCUAUUUUUUCUUAUCAAUCAAACAAUAAAUAACAUACUUUAAAAUUAUAAUUAUUACAUUUACUUUAAUAAUUUAUUUACUAAGGUUAUAAUUAUAAUUAUGAUUGAUGAUACAAUCACUUUUAAUGAAAUACUAUAAUUGUGCUUUAUAAAUUUAUUUCAGCAUCAUAUAUUUACUUCCUAAUAUAAAAAUUAUAAUAAUUUAUCAUCAUUUUAACAAACUAUAUCUGUUAAAAAAUAAAUUCUAUAACAAUUACAAUUUAAUAAAAUAUGUUUCAAAGUAAUCUUAUGUUUCCUCAGUAAAUCUUACAUUCAAAAUAACCAAACAAAAUAAUAUCACGUUAAUAUUCCGUAAUUUUACAAGAUAUAAUUUUAGGAUCACAAUUACCUUCUUUCCAUGUUUGGAAAUAAGUGAAGAUGGGAGCCUGGCACUGGUAGUCGUUUCCGAAGUAGUUCCCAUGACCGAGAGAGAAGUUUUAGGUGGCUGAACCAAGAAGAGCGGGGACGUGAUUGUUGGCAAGUCCGAUAUACAUAUUACGGCCACCUAUCAAUGACUCUAGGAUCGAAUGUUUUGUCAACAGUUAUGUUAGUGACUCGUGGAUCAUAUCCUGCACCAUUGGCGCGGGGUCUCUUAGGUUGAGGAGCCUCAAUUGCUCUCUUCUUCUCUGCCCUGGCUUUCUCCAACAGGGAACUCGCUUCUGAAGAGGACCAAUAGGAUAUAACAGAAUCACUGUAUAAAUUCAUUACAAGAAUGAUAAUAAUGCAAAUUUGUAUAAAUUACAAGUAAAAUUAAUAGUUUCUAGUAAUUUAUCUAAUAGCCGCUACAGUGAUUUUACAAGCUUCAAAUUCACAGAAAGACACGAUUAGACUCUAAAAACUACAUCAACAAAAAUCAGUAAACCCUAGAAAGAUGAACAGAAUCGGUCAGAACAAUGAAAUUUUCAAUUUCACUGUUGACCCUCCCCAAAAACAAAUUUGGAGGAAUUUUUCUUUCAGCAAAAAGAAAAAGUAAGAACAAAAGAAAGCCUCAGUCCAAGAAAAAAGAGUGAAAAUGAAAGCAAAAGAAAGGUACAGAAAUGAAGAGAGAAAAAUGACUGAUUAAAUUCAAGGGACACUGGGUGACAAGGUGACUUAAUUCGAAAGAUAUUCGAAUUCUUGUUAUCUGGAGCACUCUCAUUUUUGCUAUUGGACGUUAAGGAAAGAAAAAUACCGUAUCUUCGUUGUAAAGUGAACUCCAAGUGAUGUGGUCUUAGUGAUAUUCAGGAGUGCUCUUAAAGUUGUGCCACGUCUGAUCUAGACAAAGACUUGAAGCAUGUUUAGAGGAUAUAACAGAGAUAAGGUUUAUUUUUAAUCUCUUCUUUGUUACACUUUUUUUUUUCGAUUCAUCCAACUUAACGAUUUUUAUUUUUAUUUUUAGAAUUGGAUUAGUUAUACUAAGAAUUGAUCCAAAGAUUUAGAAUAAGAGAUUAGAUCGAUUAAUUUGUGAAUCGAUAUAAACUGAUUGAAUCAGGUUAAAAAUUUAAUUAAUUUUUUUUUAAAUUUUAAUAUUUUUAUGAUAUUUUUUAAAUAUUUAUUCAAUUGAACUGAUUAAAUAGAUCGAAUUAAAAAUUUAUCAUAGGAUAGAUCUAAUUUAAAAACUUUGAAAAAAGAAGUUUAUUUUUCAUUCAUUUAUUAGAGUAUGAUUAACUUAUAAUAAAUGGUUAGUGAUUUUUUUUGGCAUAAUGGUUUUUUUGGUCCUUUAAUUUUAUAAAAAAAUUAAUUUUAACUCUCAAUUUAAUUUUUUUUCUCUUUUAACCCUUAAAUUUAAACUUUUUAUCAAAUCACCUUAAAAUGGAAAGAAAAAAUAAUAUUUGUUAACUUUGCUAACAUAACAUACACGUAGAUUGUCACGUAGAUAACAUGCCAACAUUAAAUUAAUUUUUAAAAAAUAUAAAAAAGUAUUUUUUAUGAUUGAUAUAAUUUUUUUAAUAAAUUAAAUGGUUUUUAAAUUUUAACAUGGCGUUUAUAAUUUUUUUGAAAUUUUAAAAAUUUAAUUAAACACUAAUGUGUCAACCACGUGAUAAUUCACGUGGCAAUCCACGUGUAUACAAAGUUUAAAAACAUUAACUUUUUCAUUAAUUUUGGGUGAUUUUACAAAGUAAAAAAUUAAAUUAUAGACUAAAAUGACUUUUUUUUAUAAAAAUUAAAGAAUCAAAUAAGUGGUUAUACCAUUUUUUCCUCACGCGGUUCAGUUUGUUUUUGUCACUAGCAUGAAAUGUAACCAUCAAUAAUUUAGUAAUAGACUCUUUCACAAGUAGAUCUGACUUGAAUUAAAAUUAAUUAUAAAAUUAUUUAAUACUUUAUUAUUCUUAAAAUAUUUGAAUUUAAUUAACAUCUAAAUAUUAGAUUUCGAAGGAUCAAACCAUAUUCCAAUUUCAUCAUUAAAAUCUCUACUUAUGUGAGUUCUUCCCUACGCCAAUUUUGUCCAAUAGUAAAAACUUUAAUAUUUUUAAAUAGAAUCUCGAAUUUAAAUUUUAUAAAUAAAUAAAAUUAAAUUAAAAAAAGUUAUCUCUCAUUUAAAAAUCUUCCUAACUAAAAUAUAAAAAAGGCAGGACAACGAGCCAAAAGCUUGAUAACAACACAUUGCAUGCCAUAAUUGAGGGCACGAACAGUAAGGCGUAUUAGCCCAAUGAUUCACAAAAGUUGUUAUUAAAAAAAAGGGUAUUAUUUAAAUUUAAAAUCUCAGUAUUUAUAAUAUUUUGUUAGCAUUAAUUUUGGGGAAAAAAAAGAUUUAUUUUCUUUCUCACGUUUCAAUAUGGUCAUUUUUGUUACAUCUUUAUUUAUUCUGUCAGUCCAUGUUAUGUUUUAUUCUCUUAAAGAGUAUUUUUUUCUGGGUAGAUAUUCUUUUAAGAAUAUAUUUAUUCCAACAAUACCAAAAACUUAAACUUAAAAAAAAAUUAUUAAUGGUUCAAAAAUCAAUGUAAGAGAAAAAAGAAAAGAGAGAAAAAACGCAAUCGUAUUGUUCUCUAUAUAUGUUUGAUUUUUAUUAUUUUUCUCAUCAAUGAAGUUAAAAAUAUCAAAAAAAUCGAAAAAAAUAAAUUUUAAAUUAAUUGAAUUAAGUUGAGUCAAAUUGAGUUGAGUUGAAUUUUACAAAUCGAAUAAUUUGAAUAAUAGAUUGAUAUAAAUAUUAUUUGUCAAUUUUAAAAAUGAACAAAUUAAUUUUUUUCUCAACAAAAAUUUAAAAUCUAAAAAUUCUAAAGAAUAUAUAAAGAAAGUUAAAAUUUUUCUAAAAAUAAUGAUUUUGGAGUUUAUUGAAAAAGUUUUCAAAUACAUAUAGUUUUAAAUUUAUGUGCUCUAACAUAUAAUUAGUUAUACCGUAACAAAAUUUUAAUUUGGCAUGUUUAGUUUGUUAAGUUAACUCGAAUAAUUUCACUUAACUCGACUCAAAUUUCAUUUCACUGAAUUCAAUUAGGAAAAAAUUUUAAAUUGAGUUAAAGAUGAUAAAAUAGGACUCGUUAACUUGAAAUUUUUUUUACUUGAUUCGAUUCAAUGCUAAGUUCUAAUUAAAAAAUCUCUUUUUUGCUGAUUUUUAAAAAAAAUUAUUUUACAAAUUAUAAUAGAUUGAAUAAGAAUUAAGCUCUACAGGAAUCACCUUGAAGGAUACAAAUUUGAUAAUUAAUCAGGUAGAUUUUUAUUUAAUUUAUUUAUGAUGACAAAAGUAGGAUUAGAAAUCAGCAUAAAAGAAAAAACUCAAUAACUAGGAUCCGGUCCGGUUCAUGACAUCCUCAUUUAUAUAUUAAAAAAACAAAUAUUUUGUAUGGCUAUUGCAAUUGUAAACCUCUAAAUGGGUCGGCAGUUAAUUUUGACCAAUAGCUAUAAUGGACGGCAAUGAAGAAAGGGGCCAAAAUGAAUAUAUAAUUAUUAUAUAUAAAAUGAAAAACAGAACAAAUUUACCAAUAAUUUUGAACUUUCUCAAUUUUCAGUCGCCCUCCAAAUUAACUUUUCAUUUAAUUAAUUAAUUAAAUUAUUUAAUAAAAUUUAAGAGAAUUUUUCAACGAAAGGCAAGUCAGCAAAGAGCACUAAAAAGUCUUUGCCCCAUCUUGGAGGCCAGUCGUCUCCGUAGCUUGGAAAAAGAAAAACAACCAAAGAACCUUAAAAUGGUCUUUCCUUCAAUUUCCUAUUUAAAAUUUUUUAAAUGUUUUUCUUGUUGUUUUGAAUUAUGCUGUUGAAUAUUCAAACCAUGAUGUUGAAUUUGCCUUAUUUUUCUCUUAAUUUUCGUUUAUGAAGUACUGGGAAAUCUUCUCUCUUAGUUUCUCUGUGGAAAAGGAGGAUGCUUCCUUAUAGUUUCCCAUACCCUUUUGCCUGUUCUAUGAUCUUCUUCGGUUAAAAUUUGAAAAAAUCUGAGGUGGGUCUUUGAAUUUUUGUUACAAAGCUUCAUCCUGCUUAAUUUUCCCUUUCUGGGUUUUGUUGAUGCUCUCUUAUAUUAAUCAGAAUCUAGGUCAAGUAGUCAACUUCACUAGGUUUGCUUAACUUUGUACGUGUAAAAGUUUUGAUCUUCUGUCUUUUUCUUUGUGAAUUUGGUGGUUUAUCAGCUGAAUUAUGUGAUCUACGUUCUUUCCUUUAUUAUUGCUUGUCUUGGUUUUUCUGGAUUUAUGAAAGGUGAAUUUUAUCUUAUUUCCUCUUUUUUUCUUUUUGGAACUUGUUUCAGGUUUAAAUUUUGAACUAUGGUUUAGUAGAUUUGGCAUUUUAAGCUGUUAUUAGCUGUACAAAUUGCUUUCUGCAAUUCUCCAUUCAAGUUUCGAUUUGAGGGGUUUCUUCAUGAUCAUGGUGAUGCGUAGCCGAAUUUUUUCUGUUCUCGUCAGUGUUUUAGUCUGGUUGUUGCUUGGCUGUAGUUUGAGCUAUGCGUCUCAAGAAGAUAUUGAUUGUUUGAGGAGCAUCAAAGAUUCACUUGAGGAUUCCUUUGGUUACUUAAAUUCUUCAUGGAAUUUCGACAACACUACUGAAGGAUUUAUUUGUAGAUUUACCGGGAUUGAUUGUUGGCACCCGGAUGAGAAUAGGGUUCUGAAUAUCCGGCUUGCAGAUAUGGGACUCAAGGGUGUGUUUCCUCAAGGAAUCGUAAAAUGCAAAAGUAUUACAGGCUUAGAUCUUUCAAGCAACAAACUCUAUGGACAUAUUCCAUCUAAUAUUUCUCAAAUUAUCAAGUAUGUCACUACCCUUGAUCUCUCAUCUAAUAAUUUCUCUGGAGAAAUCCCACCGGGACUCGCAAAUUGUAGCUUCUUAAACAUUUUGAAACUUGACUAUAACAGCUUGACGGGUUCGAUUCCUCCAGUACUCAGUUUGCUGAAUAGGAUAAAAACAUUUAGCGUGUCUAAUAAUCUCUUGUCGGGGCAAAUUCCAUAUUUUAAUGUUACAUUAACGGCAGAGGAUUUUGCGCAUAAUCCUGGAUUGUGUGGGAAGCCUUUGGAUCCUUGUCAGUUGACUUCAAAAGGCCCUAAAACUGGAAUUAUUGCUGGGGCUGCUGUCGCUGGGUUGACGGUUGCUGCAAUAGGUGUGGCUAUUGGUAUGUUCUUCUAUUACCGUAGAGUAUCUGUUAUGAGGAAGAAGAAGGAUGAUGAUCCAGAAGGAAACAAAUGGGCAAAGAGCUUAAAGGGAGAUAAAGGCAUUAAGGCAAGCUUAUCUAAUACCUCCAUAUCAGAUUUGAGCUAAUGUUCUUUUUUUCUUCUUUCUUUGAUUACGGUUUUUUCUAUGUGAUGUACUUAUAAGGUAAUGUUAUUUCAGGUUUCCUUGUUUGAAAAAGGAGUUUCCAAGAUGAGAUUAAAUGAUCUUUUGAAGGCCACUAACAGUUUCAGCAAAAAUAAUAUCAUUGGGUCAGGAAGAACAGGGACUAUGUACAAAGGUGUCCUCGAAGAUGGAACCUCGCUUAUGAUUAAAAGGUUACAGGAUUCUCAACACUCUGACAAAGAAUUUACAUCUGAGAUGGCUACUCUGGGAAAUGUGAAACACCGCAACUUAGUUCCCCUUCUAGGUUUCUGUGCUGCAAAAAAGGAGAGGCUUAUAGUUUACAGAUACAUGGCGAAUGGCACUCUCAAUGAUAAUUUGCAUCCUGUAGAUGAUGCUAACAAGGCUAUGGAGUGGUCCAUAAGGCUUAAAAUCGGUAUAGGGGCUGCCAAAGGAUUUGCAUGGCUCCACCACAACUGCAAUCCUCGUAUACUUCAUCGAAAUAUAAGCUCUAAGUGCAUCUUAUUGGAUGCAGAUUUUGAGCCCAAAAUAUCCGAUUUUGGUCUAGCUAGGCUUAUGAACCCAAUUGAUACACAUCUGAGCACCUUUGUGAAUGGCGAGUUUGGGGAUUUAGGUUAUGUUGCCCCUGAAUAUGCCAGAACUCUAGUGGCCACUCCAAAAGGAGAUGUCUACAGCUUUGGAGUUGUCCUUCUCGAGUUGGUGACUGGUGAGAAACCUACCCACGUAUCCAAAGCUCCUGAGAGCUUCAAGGGAAGUCUGGUCGAAUGGAUUACACAGCUAUCAAAUGAUGGGAAACUUCAUGAUGCUAUUGACACAUCCUUGCUUGGGAAGGGUGUUGAUAAUGAACUUUUCCAAUUUCUUAAAGUUGCAUGUAAUUGUGUAUUGCCACCUCCCAAGGAGAGGCCUACCAUGUUUGAAGUAUACCAGCUUUUAAGAGCUAUUGGAGAGCGAUACAAUUUUACCACCGAGGAUGAAAUUUUGAUGCCUUCAGAUACUGGUGAUGCUGAUUAUUUAGAGGAACUUAUUGUUGCUCGAGAAGUCAACGAGAGUCAGUGAAGAGCUAUGGGAUAUGGUGAGUAUUGUAUCUUAGCAUAGUGCAUGUGUAAGUAUUUGCUCUUGUGCAUGUUUAAAUAAAGGUUGAAGUUACAUGUAUGAUGCUUUACUUACUAUUUCAACUUUCUACAUCCAGUACUCACUGUAAUUGUAUCAGGUAUAUUUUUUAGCAUCUACAUUAGGUCUUUAUGUCUGUUAUUUCAUAUUAGAAUCCUUCACCAAUGUCCUCGAGGAAAAAAAAACUUUAGAUUGAUUAGUAUCAUACGUAAUCUUUCGUGGCUUUCUCCCUAAAUUAUCAUGUAUGUAGGAUGAUUAGCUUCACACCAAUCAAAUGCUGCGUAUAAUGUAAUUAAGAUCACUUCACAAUUGUGGGAUCUGUUUUCCUUAUUGAUUAAUGUGAUAAUUUCUUGCUGAAGCCUUUUUCUCCUUUUAAUUCUAUUUGCAGAAUGAUAAGAUCUAGAUCAAGUGAAUGCUGUGUGUAACAUAAACUAGGCAUCUUAUAUGGUGGAACUUAAAGUCGUUUCCCUGUCUUUUAAUUGAUGAAAUAUGUGUGUGUGUUUGUGUGUGUGUGUCACUGCUGUUACUGUUGCACUUUUUUGGAUUAUGAAUCUUGGAAUUUGGCAUUUGAUGCUAAUAGCAGAAUUCUCGAUUGCACUGUUGGGAAUCAUAGUGCACCUGCAUAUAUGCCAGCAUGCCAUUUGGAGGCUAGAGUGAGAGUUAAAAUUGAAUAACUGCCAAAAAGAAACAUCUAGAUGCAUGCUGUUUUUGUUUCUGAUAAACUGGCUUUUGCAGCAUGAUUCUACUUUUCCAUUUCUUUUUCUAGAAUUGAUGCCUAGAAAAAGUGGACCUAUUCUGGAUUAGGAUUUAUGCUAUUUAGACAUAUAUGUAUGUGACUUUAAGGUUGGCAUAUUCCAUUGAUUUUUAUUGGUGAUUGAUGAAAUGGAAGGGGAUUUGGAGCAUUUUUCAAAGGCCACAAUCCAAAAUCUCAGUUUUAAAGUUAUCAGAUGAAAAUGGAAUAUUGAAUAAAGGUAGCAAAGGAUUUGUGUGCAUGUAUUGCUUAGGAGUACUUGUUGAUUUCAGCAUCUUUCAAGGGAUUUUAGUAACUUUUGUUAUUAUCCUUCAUUUUGUGGGGAGAGCUAUACAGUAUUUGUAGAUGAUGUAUGGCUAGCAUCUUCUAGUUUUUUCAUUUCCUAUUGAAUGCUUGAUGCCCCUCUUCCUGUUUGAGUUAUAUAGCAUACUAGCUAAUUUCAUAUGGGUUUCUUGGCCCUUUACGUAUUAACUCUAAACAUACCAUGAUAAAAAGGUGAUGACAAAUUCAGUUGGACAUGGACAUUGGACAGGUUAGGUUCUUCAAAAUGUAUGUAUUUGUGUGAUAUGAAGGGUGUAUAGCGGAUUGUCUCUAGGUUGACUCAGACAGUUUGUGGAGAGUCUUCUGCGGACCAUCCCACACAAAGGGUUGCUUGCAGACCGUUCCUCACAGAGGGUCGUCCACGGACUGUCCAACAACUUGCCACAUGUGCUCUAGUGGAGGUAUAACAGUGUAUAUAUAUAUUAAAAUGAGACAAUAAAUGGUUUGGUUCUUCAAUCAUGGAAGCUUGUGGUGUUUCUUCCAAACAAUGAUGCAUGGUUCACCCAUGGUUGCUUAUUAAAUCCUAACUCGCAUUACUGCUGGUCGCCAUUAUAAUGCUUUUGUCCUAAUUUCCACCUUACUAACCGACUGCCAUUUUAUCCAAAUUUCUUCAACUUUGUUUGCAUUCUUCUCCUUCCAUUAACUACUUUAUGCAAUGCUCCACAAUCUCUGUUUCUCACAAGAAUCACGAGUGUGUUAAAAUGAAGAAAUUAAGCACCACAUACUUCAUGUCGCUGUUUCCUGUAAUAUGUUUAUGUUAAAAAAACACCAGUUUCAUCAAUGGUGGAAAAACUUGAUUCAAAGCCACAUCCAAUUUAAUCGGUCUGAGAAAACUAGUUGUUAACUAAACUGAUUUUAAUGUUUAAAAGAUGCAUUUGAUUGGUCUGCCUACAAUGAGAAAUUAAAUGUAGACGACGGACCUGUUUUUCAUUAUGUUCUAAAAGCGCUUGUAGAGUUAAAAUGUGGUUUUUGAAGUUCAAAGUAAUUUUCAGCCCAAAACACAAAAAAAAGUUAGAAUUUUUAGUUUUUGUGAAUUUUUUUUCCUAUUGAAAUUUAUUUCAAAUAUAUAAUAUUAUUUAUUUGAAUUUAUAAUAUUAUUUUUUUAAUAUUCAACAUAUAAUUUAUAUAUUCAAAUUAAAUUUUACAAACAAUUCAUAUUAAUUGCUUAAAAAUAAAAUUUAUAUUUCAUAUAUUAAAAUAUUUAAAAUAUUAUUUUAUAUAUUUUUAUUGAAAUAUUAUAAAUAUUAAUCAACUUUAACAUCAUUUAAUGUAUUUUCUUGUACUUACCACAUCAUUUAAUAUAGUAAUUAAAUAAAUAUUAUAUUUCUUAAAAACACAUUUUCACAAUAAUAUAAAACACUUCGAUUUUAAAUCAAACUUUUAAAAAAUAAUUUUAAAAAGUAUUUCUCAUUAGCAAGAAAGAACUAUAGCUCGAAAUAGAGGCGAGUCAAAUCCUCUUCUAAUAAGCUAGUUUUUCUUUUGUUUUUUCUAAGCUCUGGACAAGGACACUACAUUGAUGAAAGAAUUUUGAAUGAAGGAAAAAUAUUUGGUAUAUUGGAUAAGGGUGAUAAUAAAAUUCCAAUAAAAUAUAUUAAAAUAUUAUAAAUAUAAAUAUAAAAAAUUAGACUUAAAACAUUUUUUUAAUUCUGUUUGUAGAGUUAAGAUGCUUUAACAAGAAACACUAAAAACUUUUCUUUUUUUUUCAAAGUUUUUUUGCUUUUCUUUUGUUUUGCCAAGUAGCAAUGUUAGUAUUUGAGUUGGUUACCGUUCGCCUUUUUUUUCCUCUCUCAACCCUUUCUAUCUUCACAAGUUGCAUAAAGAAAUUCAUUUUAGGCACCCAAAAUAAAAAGUUUACAAUAUAAAUACUCACAUUACAUAGUUCAAUUAUUUUUAUCUGGUAGUUAAAAAAUAGGUAUAAUAACUAAUUUAGCCCUCAACUUUUACAUAUUAUAUGGAUUUAGUCAUAAUUUUAAAAAAUUAACUUUCAAAAUUUUCAAAUUUUCUUAAUUUUAUCUUAAUUUUAAAUUUCCCCACCCCACCCCAUCCCUCUCCUUCUCCCCCUCUCCCACCAGACCUCCCGGGUUUGAGAAAUUUUAAAAUUAUGAUUAAAUUAAUAUGAUAUGUAGAAAUUGAGGGUUAAAUUUAUUAUUAUACAUAUUUUUUAACUAUCAAGUUAAUUUAUCAUUUAUGAUUUUAAUGAGAGUGAAAAAAAUUAGAUACUUAAAUUAUAAACAUUUUAUUUUAGAUACCUAAAAUAAUGGGAUGAAUAUUUGUUGUUUACCCUAAAAAAAUAAUUAUAAUAUCAAACUAAUACAGCUUUACAAGAUAUUAAAAGUUUUGACUUCUUGGAGUUAAUAAUAAAAAAAAGGAAAAUUUUGGUUGUAGAAGCCAAAUUUCUCAUAAGAGUACACCCGAAAUUCCUUGAAACCAUCAAAAGCUGUCACCAACCUCUUUGCAGGAAUCGCCUGAAACAUCCAAAAUUCCAUGGAAUUGAAUUGCUCAUCUCCUAAAACCAUCCCUGUAGUUUCAACGUUUACAGGAAAAGGCUCGGAUUCUUCCUCAACCAGGAAGCCUAUAAGCUUAUGGCCUGGUAUGUACCAUUCACCGGUUACCAACGCUUUAUGGGAAGCCAGGUCCAAAAUCUUCGAGAGACUCCUUGAUCCACCAAAAGAUGCACCCCCUCAGAGCGAAUUGCUCACCAAAUCUCCCUCUCAAAGCCGAACCACCAUCUUUUAUAACUUUUCAUCUGAUUAUAUCUUGAGAGAACAAUAUAGGGAUCCCUAGAAUGAAGUUAGAAUGGGCAUGUUGCUUGAAGACCUUGAUGCUUUAGCUGGGACUAUCUCUGUCAAGGUUCCCCAUAUUUUUCUUCUUCACAAACUUACCUUCUUUCAUUUUCUAAAAGCUGUUUUAAACCUUGUUUGUUUGUAAAAUUAGCAUUGUUCAGAUGAUGAUAGCACAACAAGGCCUCUGUUGCUGGUAACAGCUGCUGUUGAUAAGAUUGUUUUGAAGAAGCCCAUUAGUGUUGACAUUGAUCUCAAAAUGGUUGGUUCUGUCAUUUGGGUUGGGAGAUCAUCAAUUGAGAUUCAAUUAGAUGUUAUUCAAUCCCCAAAAGGUGUUUUAAUCUAAAACCUAUGACUUGCCUUUUAUAAUGUUUAGGUACCCAAUCUGGAUUCUCCAAUCUGUGUCGUGGCUUAACAUUUUGUGUUCUUUAAUAUUGAUAUUCAACACUCCAAAGUCCAACCCCAUUUUUCUUUUCUCCUUUAAUAAGCAUAUUUCUCAUUUAAAACCUACUUAGUAUAUGCAUAGGAGUAACAUUUUUCAUUUAUGGAUAUAUAUUAGAUUGAGGUUUGGCCAUGAUGAUUAGCCUUUGAUCAGAUUUUGUUAUUUCAUGUAGAAGAAUCGGAUGUUUCGCAUUCAGUAGCUCUAGCAGCUAACUUCAUCUUUGUGGCCCGUGACUCUAAGACCGGGAAAGCUGCUGCUGUUAACCGGCUUUCUCCAGAAACUGAACGUGAGAAAUUUCUUUUUGAAGAAGCUGAAGCUAGAAGCAAAUUGAGAAAAAAGAAAAGAGUGGAUAGAAGAAAACUCGAAAAUGGGGAGGUAAAUCAACUGGAAGCACUCUUAGCAGAAGGCCGAAUCUUUUGCGAUAUGCCAGCCUUAGCAGAUAGAGACAGCAUUCUUUUAAGGGAUACCCGUCUUGAAAAUGCUUUGAUCUGUCAACCGCAGCAGAGGAAUAUCCAUGGUCGAAUUUUCGGAGGUUUCUUAAUGCAUCGAGCAUUUGAGCUAGCUUUUUCAACAGCUUAUGUCUUUGCUGGACUCGUGCCUUGCUUUUUAGAAGUUGAUCAAGUUGAUUUCCUAAGGCCUGUAAGUACCUUCCUGCUUUCUGUGCAGGUUUUAGCAUUAAAUUCAUUGUCUCAUAUAGGGAGAGAUCAAGAUCCCAAACUUGAUCAUUAUUUCAAGCAUAUCCUCAUGAAAUGGAAGACAAGAAGAAACUUUCAGAUUCAAUAUUGUCUUUCCAGCAUCUUCGGUUCACGUUUGUGCUUCAAUUCAGGUCUAUCUUUAACUUAUGCAAAAAGAAUACCUGUACUUUGAGCAGGUCGAUGUAGGCGACUUCCUUCGUUUGACGUCAUGUGUUCUGUACACUGAACUCGAGAAUCCGGAUCAACCAUUAAUUAAUGUUGAAGUUGUUGCUCAUGUUACGAGGCCGGAGAUCAGAUCCAGUGACGUAAAACCCUGCAAAAUGCACUGUUAUAGAACAAACAAGCUAAUAUGUUCUUGAUUCCAGAUUCAGUAAUUUCAUAAAAUAUAUGGUUACUUAACAUGUUCUCUCUUUCUGUAUUAUCCAUGAAGCAGGUAUCAAAUACAUUUUAUUUCACAUUCAGCGUCCGGCCAGAGGCAAAGGCCACAAAGAAUGGAUUUAAGAUCCGAAAUGUAGUUCCUGCAACAGAGGAAGAAGCACGGCGUAUUCUAGAACGCAUGGAUGCUGAGAUGCCACAGCAAAACCAGUGAAGCUGGGGCAGAUCAACACCAUCUUCUAGCAUAAGCAAUUUGAUGGUAUCAGUCAAAUGUUAAAGAUUCUUUGUAACAUUAGAAACAUAAAUUAUUGCAGCCUGUUAAAUUUUGCAGGCAUGAACCUGAUGAAUGUAUCAUUCCCCUUGAAAUAAAUCAGCACACUGCCUCCUUUUGUUUCCCCAAGAAAAUUUCCUCUCGUAUAUUAUAGAUUAUAUAGAACAAAACUGUUCUGAAUUGUACAUGGAUUUAUACAGAUAUGAAAAUAAGAAUAUAAAUAAAUAUUUGCGACCUUACAUUGCAGGACAAGCCAUACAAGCUUCAUGCAAAACCUAAACCACCCAAUUUUGGUAGCUUCUAUCUUACAGCUUCAGCAAACAACUAAGGUGAUGCAGUCUCAUCAUCAGAACCAGAACCAUACCUUGGUCUGCCCUGAAAUCCAGCAAAAGCUUGGGACAUCAUUGGAUUCACUGGAACUGGGAACACUGGUUGCAUCAUUGGAUUCACUGGGACUGGGAAUUUAUGGGCAGAACUAACAACAGUUCGUUCAUUUAUCAUCCCAACUUCCUUGCAGACCCGUUCGAGAACCGUAAGGAAAUCCCUCACCACCAUAAAGAUUCUAAAUGGGUGGGCCUCUUCUUUUGUUGAGUUCCCAUGGAAGUAUUCAGUAAUCUCCUUUACCAGAGAUAAGGCCACACUUUCAUGGGCUUGAAUCCUUAUAAUCUCUUCCUCGGCCAUUUUCAUGAACUUGUUCAUUGAUUCGGAAAACUUCUCCAGGCUCUCAUCCAAUGCCAUUUUUUCAUUUAAUCUUAGAACGUCGCUGAUGUUUUCAAUGCCUCUAGAAAGCUUCAAGACAUCGCUGUUAAGUACCUCGGAAUCCAUUGCUGCAGCUUUCUUCACAUUGGUGAGCUCUGAACUGAGACUAGAAACAACUUGUAAACCGAGCUUCCUACACCGAGCAUCUUCGUUUACAGUGGAGCUUUGAGUUUGGUCAGCAUCGGAAAGACGAGCACCCUCAGUUCUUAUGAUUUCUUGUACAACAAAAUGCAGGAGUGUGGUCUUCCCAUCCGCACCCUUCACAUCAACAAGCUUAAGGAGUGUAUCAAGUUUGAAGGCAUGGGCAUCACCACGGUUUGUCCCGACAUUCAUGCGGUUCCCAGUCUUGAGCACAGCCUCUAGAAGCUUCAAAAACAUCCUACUGGUUCUCAAUUCCUCGCAAGCAUUCUGUAAAAAGGACAAACCAACAGGAUACGGCUUAAUACAAUUGAUAAUAAAGCAACAACACAGGUUUUGUUGGUCUACGUUAAAUCUACAAAAUGAAAACAAAGCAUAUGACUCAUCUUAAAGCAAAUGAUCAUGUCAGUGAACUCGGACACAUGCAUUUUUUAGACCAGUGAAAUGGUUACUAUAUUCAACAUAUUACAAGAACACAUGUAGUUGUACCCAAAAAAACCAUAUUACAAGAAUAUUCUUCUUGUUCACAUUCUUAGGCAAGCUUAUAGACAAAAACCAAGCUGUCAGGUAUGAACUAACCUAAAGUCAAGGCACAUUUAAUUAGUCAUUCAUAUUUUACUUUGAAGAGAAACAUGUGAUAAAGACUGAAUAGUCAAAUAGAUAGCUGUAAUGUUUGGUGUUGAAAUUUCUAAACCACGAUGAAGGAUAUGGUAGCUGAAUGAGUAUUCACAUUUUAAUACAAGCAUAAACAAGCAACCAAGAAAAGCUGAAAGAAACGAGGAAGAAAUCGAG
rnacentral:lncRNA from 1 species